AUGGCUGUCGUCAGCUCGUGUUGUGAAAUGUUGGGUUAAGUCCCGCAACGAGCGCAACCCUUAUCCUUGUUUGCCAGCGAGUAAUGUCGGGAACUCCAGGGAGACUGCCGGUGAUAAACCGGAGGAAGGUGGGGACGACGUCAAGUCAUCAUGGCCCUUACGAGUAGGGCUACACACGUGCUACAAUGGCGCAUACAGAGGGCGGCCAACUUGCGAAAGUGAGCGAAUCCCAAAAAGUGCGUCGUAGUCCGGAUUGGAGUCUGCAACUCGACUCCAUGAAGUCGGAAUCGCUAGUAAUCGUGGAUCAGAAUGCCACGGUGAAUACGUUCCCGGGCCUUGUACACACCGCCCGUCACACCAUGGGAGUGGGCUGCAAAAGAA
rnacentral:rRNA from 1 species